UGGUUUCCUCGUCUUGAAGUCAAUGGAUUUUUUGAAUGAGCUGUUGAUUAGAUGCCUGAAAUAAGGUCUGUGGUUAACACAAGCUUAAUAGAUUUUAAUGUUUUGUUCUACGACAUAAAAUGUCAGUAAAUACCAAACUUGUGAAUGUUGAAGCUUUUACUCGUCUUGCUAAAGGCGGUUGCAAAAUGAG